rnacentral:rRNA from 1 species
AUUGAACGCUGGCGGCAGGCCUAACACAUGCAAGUCGAGCGGAUGAUGGGAGCUUGCUCCCGGAUUCAGCGGCGGACGGGUGAGUAAUGCCUAGGAAUCUGCCUGGUAGUGGGGGACAACGUUUCGAAAGGAACGCUAAUACCGCAUACGUCCUACGGGAGAAAGCAGGGGACCUUCGGGCCUUGCGCUAUCAGAUGAGCCUAGGUCGGAUUAGCUAGUUGGUGGGGUAAAGGCCGACCAAGGCGCCGAUCCGUAACUGGUCUGAGAGGAUGAUCAGUCACACUGGAACUGAGACACAGUCCAGACUCCUACGGGAGGCAGCAGUGGGGAAUAUUGGACAAUGGGCGAAAGCCUGAUCCAGCCAUGCCGCGUGUGUGAAGAAGGUCUUCGGAUUGUAAAGCACUUUAAGUUGGGAGGAAGGGCAGUAAGUUAAUACCUUGCUGUUUUGACGUUACCAACAGAAUAAGCACCGGCUAACUUCGUGCCAGCAGCCGCAGUAACAC